rnacentral:ncRNA from 2 species
GGGGAUGUAGCUCAAAUGG